rnacentral:lncRNA from 1 species
AGGAAGCCUGGGUACUGGAGUUGGCUCAUUGUAUCCCUCGGAAGAAGGAAACGACCAACUCCUAAAGUUAUCCUCUGACCUCCAUACGGAAUGCAGCGACACAGGCACACACCCAAAACACUCGGUAAUAAAUAACAUACUUGAAAAAGAAAUGUAAUGACUCACAUAGACAAUGCAUGCCUUCCUCAGAGUCAUGUACACCACCGUAUGCAUACAUAACUGCACGUUUCACAUGUACUCAUGCAGUUCCGGGAGACAUGUGGACCCAGCCACGCCCACACUUUUGUAGAUGGCUUUCCAAAUUGUCUGUCUACACACACACACACACACACACACACACACACACACACACACACACACACGAGAUACACAGCACACAGAUUCGCACACAGCCAUUCCCAGACUAUCACCAACACUCCCAAAGUCUUCCUCCCUCCUAUGAAGCCCUGAUAGUCAUGUGCUCACGGAUGCACACAGAGAGAGUCCUUAUAGACUCACAACCUCACAGAUACCCACCCACAGCCAGGUUCCAGGAAGCCAAUGCACCCUGGUCAGCACCCAACCCAAGUUCACACCUGUGCUGCCCACCACAGCGCCUCCCCUUUUUUGUGACCAGCGAGGUUAGCACAAGGACAGCAUAGGUGUAUGCCUGGAAUGCUGCCCUUAGAUGCUAACCCUUCUACCCCUAGGACUUAGGAGUUGGGUUCAGGGAGAAGACACACACACCCCCCUGAAAAACAGGAUGCUCUCAAAACAGUGUGAUCUGGUGGCUAAUAGUGGCGUGGGAGGGCCCUGCUGCUCAGGUCAAUCUCCUGCCCCUUCUCUGUCCCACCCUUCUCCCUCCCUCCUUGCAUUCCUCCAUCUUCCCUAUCCCACCCUCCCUCUCUAGGAGCCUUUGGUACAGAACCAGGCUCUCUCUCCGUUAGAAGGUAUCACAGCCUUUGUGUGAUCAGCAGAUGGGCUAAAGGCAGAGAGACAUAUCGCUCGCGACAACAGUAACAACA